GACGAACGCUGGCGGCGUGCUUAACACAUGCAAGUCGAACGGUGACCUCGGAGCUUGCUCCGGGCGAUCAGUGGCGAACGGGUGAGUAACACGUGAGUAACCUGCCCCAGACUCUGGGAUAACCCCGGGAAACCGGAGCUAAUACCGGAUAUGACACGAAGAGGCAUCUCUAUCGCGUGGAAAGUUUUUCGGUCUGGGAUGGACUCGCGGCCUAUCAGCUUGUUGGUGAGGUAACGGCUCACCAAGGCGACGACGGGUAGCCGGCCUGAGAGGGCGACCGGCCACACUGGGACUGAGACACGGCCCAGACUCCUACGGGAGGCAGCAGUGGGGAAUAUUGCACAAUGGGCGAAAGCCUGAUGCAGCGACGCCGCGUGGGGGAUGACGGCCUUCGGGUUGUAAACCCCUUUCAGCAGGGAAGAAGCGAAAGUGACGGUACCUGCAGAAGAAGCACCGGCUAACUACGUGCCAGCCGCCGCCGUAACAC
rnacentral:rRNA from 1 species